rnacentral:rRNA from 1 species
UACGUAGGUGGCAAGCGUUGUCCGGAUUUAUUGGGCGUAAAGGGAGCGCAGGUGGUUUCUUAAGUCUGAUGUGAAAGCCCACGGCUUAACCGUGGAGGGUCAUUGGAAACUGGGGAACUUGAGUGCAGAAGAGGAAAGUGGAAUUCCCGGUGUAGUGGUGAAAUGCGUAGAUAUCGGGAGGAACACCAGUGGCGAAGGCGGCUUUCUAGGCUGUUUCUGACGCUGAGGCCCUAAAGUGUGGGUAGCGAACAGGAUUAGAUACCCGUGUAGUCCCUGAGCGGGCU